GGGAUCAAACUUGGGACCUUGCACUUGCAAGGCAGGUGACAGAUCCAGUGAGCUAAAUCUCUGGCCCUAGAGAAAGAUCUUUUAUUAUUGGGAAGGCUCUCAAGUUCAUGGUGGUCACGAAUUUAGCAUGGUUAUCUUAUUUGGACAAGAAGACAUUGAGACUAAGAGAUGUUUGCUAUGAAAGCUCCUCUUGGGUAAAAAACACUGCCGCCUUGCACCGAGAGCUAGCAGGAGUAUCUCCACAGCUUGGAAGGACCCAGAGGAGUCUUGGGAAAUCUCUGGAGCCCUACAUGUACAAGCAACCAAAGGUGGCCUGAUGGUGGCUGAUAAGGAGUCAUGCAGGAAGGAGAAGUCAGGAGGGUGAGGGGUUGAUUUUGCCUGAGAUGGCCUCACAGUCGACACACCACACA